AUAAUUUAUAAAACACACUUAAACCACUUGAUCUACACUGAUCUCAAUGCAACAGCUCAUUCAGGAGGGUGUCGAGGUGGCGUCUUCUGUAAGGAGAGGUUUAACAGGCGUCAUCGGCCAUAAAGGCAGGAUACACCCUGGACGGAGUGC